UCGCUGGGGUGGCCCUGGCCCCUGCGGGGAUCGGGGGUUCUGAGCCGCUGAGCAAGUGGGUCUGCACACAUGUGGGCUGUUUGGCCCCUCGAGGGAGCUGAGGCAGCCCCUCUGGUCAGCCUGGGCGACGCCUCCACCCUCGGAGGUGUUUUCCAGCUGCACAGGAAGCAAUGACAGCCAGACAAAAAUGCCGGCGAUCCCUCUGAAUUCCACACAUAGCUCUCAUAGCUGGGGAGAGCGCCACUCCCAGCCUGCUCUGGGAGCCCGCACCCCAGCAGCCUGGGCCGUCUUCUUACCAGAAGAGGAAGAGUGCUGUGCCAGUGGAGGCUUCUGAAAGUUGGCGGGCUGGGAUGCGUAGCAGGAAAAGAAUGUGAAAAAUGUGCCUGGUGGGGCAGCAGCCAGGAGGCAAGGGCCUUCGAGGAGCAAGCUCGGGGUUCUGGUGGCCUGAGGGCGGUGCAGCCCAGAACGGCUCACAACCCCUCCUGGUGCCUGAGGCUCAGCAGCCGCCCGGUUUAAAAAGAGGAAGGUCAGGGAGGAGGUCUGGGCUGCUGGGGAACGUUGUUUCUGCACCCAGUGGGCUCCGGCUUCCGAGAGCUGCCUGCAGGCCGACACUGACACGGGGCACAUGGAGCUGGCCGGCUGGUGGGAGGCUGCUGGGGGCGGGGGGGGGAGGGGGUCUCAUGUGACCAAUUCUGGGCGCUGAAUGUUCACUGAUAGCCCUGGGACCCCGCGGGAGGCCUGUCUGCGUCUCUUCUGCAAGGUGCAAAUUCUCCAGGCGCGGGAUUCCAGAGGCAGUAACUCCCAGGCCGGAAAACAAGACCGGACACGUCUUCCGGAAGCAGGCCUGGGGGAAGGUGGGUCAACGAGCCCUGGAUCUCAGAUGGAAGGCAGCCAAGCCCGGGGCUGCCCAGGGAGUGCUGAAUCUCCUGUGACUCUGGCUGGAAGGGGAACUGCGGCUGCCUGGGGGGCUCGGUGCCCCAGCCCUCAGAGUCUCUGCAGGACCAAGGGGACCAGCACACAGGAAGUGGAGUUUGGCAUAGAACCCACGAGUGCGAUCUUGUGGGAUCCACAAUGGGGCUUCCGUAGGGCAGCCAGUGCAUUGUCUGGUGGAGCCUCCUGCACUUGGGUCCCCACCUGUGAGAUCUUCCUUGCUGCCGUGGCAAAGUGCGGCUGUGUUUAG
rnacentral:lncRNA from 1 species